rnacentral:rRNA from 1 species
AUGAACGCUGGCGGCGUGCCUAAUACAUGCAAGUCGAGCGAACAGACGAGGAGCUUGCUCCUCUGACGUUAGCGGCGGACGGGUGAGUAACACGUGGAUAACCUACCUAUAAGACUGGGAUAACUUCGGGAAACCGGAGCUAAUACCGGAUAAUAUAUUGAACCGCAUGGUUCAAUAGUGAAAGACGGUUUUGCUGUCACUUAUAGAUGGAUCCGCGCCGCAUUAGCUAGUUGGUAAGGUAACGGCUUACCAAGGCAACGAUGCGUAGCCGACCUGAGAGGGUGAUCGGCCACACUGGAACUGAGACACGGUCCAGACUCCUACGGGAGGCAGCAGUAGGGAAUCUUCCGCAAUGGGCGAAAGCUUGACGGAGCAACGCCGCGUGAGUGACGAAGGUCUUCGGAUCGUAAAACUCUGUUAUUAGGGAAGAACAAAUGUGUAAGUAACUAUGCACGUCUUGACGGUACCUAAUCAGAAAGCCACGGCUAACUACGU